GGGUCAGUAGGUUGGUCGUGCCACCGGUACGUACUGGUCUCACUGAUUCCUCCUUCCUGAAGAACCUUAAUGCCAUUAAUUUGGUGUUGCGGGGAAACAGGACUGUUACUUUGAAAAAAUUAGAGUGUUUAAAGCAAGCUAACGCUUGAAUACAUUAGCAUGGAAUAAUGAAAUAGGACGAUCGAUCCUAUUUUGUUGGUUUCUAGGAUUGACGUAUUGAUUAAUAGGGAUAUUUGGG
rnacentral:rRNA from 1 species